rnacentral:snoRNA from 1 species
ACCUUCCAGAUUCCUUUACCCUUUGGAUCUAAACCUAGGUCCGAGUGGCUAAAACAGGGGAAAAGUAAAACUGGAGUGGACUUGGAGUUUUAGUGACGUCCAAGCUCAUUUCAAACAUAU